GGAGAGAUGCCUGAGUUGGUCUAAGGGCGCCGCCUGGAAAGCGGAUGGGUGGCAACGCCGCGCAGGUUCGAAUCCUGUUCUCUCCGCCA
rnacentral:tRNA from 1 species